UGCUUAGGAAUCUGCCAAGUAGUGGGGGAUAGCCCAGAGAAAUUUGGAUUAAUACCGCAUACGCCCUACGGGGGAAAGCAGGGGAUCUUCGGACCUUGCGCUAUUUGAUGAGCCUGAGUGAGAUUAGCUAGUUGGUGGGGUAAAGGCCUACCAAGGCGACGAUCUCUAGCUGGUCUGAGAGGAUGAUCAGCCACACUGGGACUGAGACACGGCCCAGACUCCUACGGGAGGCAGCAGUGGGGAAUAUUGCACAAUGGGCGAAAGCCUGAUGCAGCCAUGCCGCGUGUGUGAAGAAGGCUU
rnacentral:rRNA from 1 species